UGGGGGAUAUUGCACAAUGGGCGCAAGCCUGAUGCAGCGACGCCGCGUGGGGGAUGAAGGCCUUCGGGUUGUAAACUUCUUUUGCUCUGAACAAGGCGCACUUUGGGGUGUGUUGAGUGUAGGGGUUGAUUAGCGCCGGCUAACUACGUGCCAGCAGCCGCGGUAAUACGUAGGGCGCGUGCGUUGUCCGGAAUUAUUGGGCGUAAAGGGCUUGUAGGUGGCUGGUUGCGUCUGUCGUGAAAGCUCAUGGCUUAACUGUGGGUUUGCGGUGGGUACGGGCUGGCUUGAGUGCAGUAGGGGAGGCUGGAAUUCCUGGUGUAGCGGUGGAAUGCGCAGAUAUCAGGAGGAAUACCGGUGGCGAAGGCGGGUCUCUGGGCUGUUACUGACACUGAGGAGCGAAAGCAUGGGGAGCGAACAGG
rnacentral:rRNA from 1 species